AAAUUCUGCUACCUCCGUUAUGUUCUCAUCACGUAUAUACCAGUCAGCUAAUACCCCCGAAAUCAUUUUCAGCCCCUUGUAACAAAAAAGUGUGUGGGGGUGGUGAAUGUCUAGAAAAAUACAGGGUCAGAAAAGGAAAGUUUUAGUAGCUCCUGGGAAUCACUUCAGGACUCAAGAACAGUAAUUCCUGAGCUUAAAGGUUUUGGUCCUCAGUCACCACAGGGUCAGUAGAUUAGAUGGAAGGAUCCUCUCAGGCAUCUCAGGAAAUAAGCUCCCAACGUGUCAGAGACCAAUUUUCAAAAAGUUAAACACAUGAAUCUCACACACUAGAGUCUAAACUUGAGUCCAAAUGUUAUUCAACUCAUCUUACUGAGGAGACCAGUAAAGUGGUAAAGAAUGCUUUUAAAUAUAGUACUUUUACGGCACCAAGCUGGGGCCAAAGAAGCAAAUUUUCUUUGUUGGACAUAAACAGUUAAUGUUUUAAAAGGUAAUAAAUCUAUAAGCUUUGGAUUUAUCUUCUCCUGUGACAAAAGUCUACAAAUUAACAUUAUUCUAUUUUUAUGAAACACAGUGAAGGACAUCCAGAUUUGGACUCCUCCAUCUUACACUUCCCAUCCAAGCUUUCCUGGAGGGGAAUCUGUCCUCCCUCUGUCAACUCUCUCACCCAGUCUUCACUUCUCACCCUGCUGACAUGUGGCCUCUCCUGUAUUCCUUUCCAGCAGCCUCAGUAGAUCACAUUCAACCGAUGAUCAAGCCCCUUCACCUGAAAAACCAAAGCACAUCUUCUGGGAUUCCUAAGGCACUUGCCCUGCCAGGGUCUCGUAAUUCCUGAAUUCUAAUUUCAUAUUCCUGGUAGUCCACUUCUCCUAGGUCAUGUGAUUUAUCUCCACCUUCCUCUGUUUAUAUCGUUUCAUGGACUUUUCUACAUCUUCACCUAAACCCAAGGACUCUUCACGUCAUUCCCAGGAGCCCUCAGCUCUCAUGUUGCCUCUGAUUCCCUGCUCUCCUAUAAUCUCACCAAUGCUCAUCCCAUCACAGACCCAUGAGUGCAGCAGUGUCCUCUCUGGCCUCCCUGUCUCCAGUGGUGAAGUUGGGGAAGGGUGGCCCUAGGUAUGCCUCCCACCCUAAUGUUCCUACUUCAGGGUAAGCUCCCUGAGCAGGGAUGAGGCUGUCUAGCACAGCCUGGCAUUCCACUGCCAACCACCAGACUCAACACCAGAUUGGAAAACAGCUCCAGAGGAAGGAUAUCGUUUGUUUGAGGUCACCCGGUUUGCGAAGAUGAAGUCAGAGUUUACAGCCCAUGUUGUUCACCGAUGAGUUACGUCACUAACCACGUUCCAAAGUGAUGCUGAUGGAAAGAAUGCUGGUGCUUCAGAGUCCUGGGGCAACCUUGAGAAGCUGCAGAGGAGUGGACGACCACGAGCUGGGGCUUGUUUUAGAUGCUCCUUCUCUUCAAAUUUCGUGCUCAUCAAAGUACAUAUUUUUCUGCACUGUAUCAAAGAAUCCUUUGUUUAAUAGAAGACACAGAAUAAUUCGGUAUGGACCUUUGUCUGAGAGGCAUCAGAAGAGAUCACAUUCAUGUGCUUAGAGAACGUCACAUGUGCUCUGUGUCCUCCACGUAGGCAGGGCGGGAUGGCUGAAGUGGGCUGGAGUCCCCACAGGUAGGUGUGUCCCUGAUCAAACCUUAGCACAUCAGGUUCUGGUAAUAUAAUUUCUCCUUAGAGCAGACUUUUUAAGAACAGAAUGCUCUAGCAUAUUUCAAAAUUGUUCAUUUUUUCUUUCCUCUGUCAGAAGCACAAUAUUUUUUUCUCAGACAUUCACUGUAAGAGGCAGGUCCAGCUGUUGGAGGCAAAACUCAC
rnacentral:lncRNA from 1 species